rnacentral:rRNA from 1 species
GACGAACGCUGGCGGCGUGCUUAACACAUGCAAGUCGAACGGAAAGGCCCUGCUUUUGUGGGGUGCUCGAGUGGCGAACGGGUGAGUAACACGUGAGUAACCUGCCCUUGACUUUGGGAUAACUUCAGGAAACUGGGGCUAAUACCGGAUAGGAGCUCCUGUUGCAUGGUGGGGGUUGGAAAGUUUCGGCGGUUGGGGAUGGACUCGCGGCUUAUCAGCUUGUUGGUGGGGUAGUGGCUUACCAAGGCUUUGACGGGUAGCCGGCCUGAGAGGGUGACCGGCAAAAUUGGGACUGAGAUACGGCCCAGAAUCCUACGGGAGGCAGCAGUGGGGAAUAUUGCACAAUGGGCGGAAGCCUGAUGCAGAAACGCCGCGUGCGGGAUGACGGCCUUCGGGUUGUAAACCGCUUUCGCCUGUGACGAAGCGUGAGUGACGGUAAUGGGUAAAGAAGCACCGGCUAACUACGUG